rnacentral:misc_RNA from 1 species
AACUAGUAAUUACUUUUUAUGCAAUGGCUACCGACGACCAGAACCAAAUAAGACUGAAGUUAAACAAAGGCUCCAUUCCUGCUUUGGGAUUCGGAACGUAUGCCCCAGGAGAGUUUUGAUUGACAGAGUGAAGAUGAUGUUUACAAAGCUGUUCAGGUGGCCAUCAAGGCAGGGUAUCGCCAUUUAGACUGUGCAGCAAUCUACAGGAAUGAGAGAGCAGUCGGUCAAGCCAUAAAGAAGACCAUUGUGGAGGAUAAAGUUACAAGGGAGGACCUGUUUAUUGUUAGCAAGCUGUGGAACACUUGUCACAAACCGGAUUUAGUGAGAGCCAGUCUGAAGAAGAGUCUUGAAGACCUGGGACUUCAGUACCUAGACUUGUAUCUGAUUCACUGGCCAAUAGGUUUAAAGGAAGGAGGGGACUUUAUUCCUAAAGAUGAAAAAGGCAAUGUUUUAUUUUCCGACGUUGACUUUGUUGACACUUGGCAGGCAAUGGAGGACUGUGUUGAUGAAGGACUAGUGAAAUAUAUUGGUUUAUCCAACUUUAAUAGUGAACAAAUUCAGAGAAUUCUGGAUGUAGCAAGAAUAAAACCCGUGAUAAAUCAGGUUGAAUGCCAUAUUUACCUUAGUCAAGAAAAACUGAUUGAAUUCUGCAAAUCUAAAGGAAUCAUAGUUACUGCUUAUUCUCCAUUUGCUAGUCCUGGACACAAGAAGAUGCCUUACACACCUUGCAUGGAGGAGCCAACCAUUGUCGAGAUUGCUAAAAGCAAAGGAAAAAAACCGUCACAGGUCAUCAUUAGAUUUUUGCUGCAGAGGGGCCUCGCGGUGAUUCCUAAAUCUGUCAGUCCAAACAAAAUUAUUGAAAACUUCCAGGUAUUUGAUUUUGAGUUGGGUGAUGAUGAAAUGAAGAAGAUUCUGGCUUUAAACAAAAAUCACAGAACUAAUACAGAGGACAUAGCCUUGACACACAAAUACUAUCCAUUCAGCAUUGAAUUUUGAAGUUGUCCACUACCAAGGAUAUUCCCUACCAGGUUCUAUGCAAAAUAAUCAACCCUAGCAGGUCCAUAAUUUAUAGAUUCAAAAUCAGUUCACACGCAGCAGUGUAAAGACAAAUCUUUGGUCUUUAAUACUAAUAUUACUCAAUCCUAUUUUCCCAGUCUGUUUGUUUGCUUUUUUGAGUCAUCACUUUUGGCUAAGUAUGUGUGUCCUUUAUUUACUGUUCGUAAGAGAGAAAUUCAUAGUUUCACAUCUCUGACAGCUGAGAAUUAUUUUCAUUAUUAAUGUGUACAAUAUGACAAAAUAUAUUUUCUUUGUGAUUGUUUGUCUAUUUAAGAAUAUUGGUUUCCAUACAUUUUGAAUGUAAAUGGUCUUGUUGUUUUCAUUCAUGAAGCCCCAAUAUUAACAUAUGCAUUUUGUCAAUUUUACACUAUUUUGGAAAUGUUUUUAACACUUGAAUCAGGCUAUUAGAUGAAUUUUGAUUGACUUCAGUUUAUUGGUAAAUUAUGGCCUUGGUCAGAGGUUGUGAAAGAGGAGGUUGAGAGUUUCCUAAUAUCAGCAUUGACUUUGUUUUAAACAACAGCAAAAGAUGUAAACACAUUUCUAAAGAUCAACCAGAAGAGCACAUAUAUAACAUUAAAAGAAACAGAGAUCUUUAACUUAAUGAUGCAUAGUGUGUCAUUUACAAAUGGCAUUAGCAAUAGUUUUCUGUAUUGAAAGGUAACAGUAUUAAUAGGUUAGUAUAUAAUACUAUGUGCUGUUAUAAAGUGUAUUGGUUUCAUCAUAUAUACACGUCUUGUAUUCUUUAUGAAGUUAUUUGUGAAGUUCAAUAUAUCAAAUAUAUUGAAUUGUACAUGUCAAUUUACAUGGAAAUCUGUAGGAAGAUUAAAAAAAAAAAGGUAAACUGAACUUCUGUUUCGGAAACAACUAGUUUUAACCACAUGUUUAGUUGCUACUAUAAAUUUUAAUUUUACUAUGAUUGUAUAUUGUGCCAUAUAUUGUUGAUUAUUCCUUUUUAAAACCAGCAACACAACGAUAUAUUUAUGAUCUGCAAGAUAAAAUACUAGCAGUUCAUUGAAUUUUAAUUUUGUUGUGAAAUGGACCUAUUUCCCAUGUUUCUGGACUUGACAUGGCCAUUCACUAUUUUAUGCCUUAUUCAUGCAUUUGUAAACUGUGAUGGCGUUGAUACAGUUACAUCCACAUAUAACAAUCCCAAAAUAAAGUUGAUAAAAAUUACAAACUAUACAGGUAUCUGCCCAAAAAGAAUAUUUUAGAAACUGCAGUACCUAUGCAUAUUUCAUUAUGUGCGUUUUGAGCAAUCAAAGAUGACAAUUGACAUAGGAAACUUGUUUUAUUUAAAAACCAUCGGCCAGAAACACCAUAUGUACAUGUAUUUGUUAGCGGCUGUUAAUAAAAAGCACUGGUGCUUGCGCAUGUAUUUUUUGAUUUUUUUUUAUCAACAUAUGAAGAAUGCGUAUACACGUAUCUGUUGAAUAAAAGAAAAAUAUAUA